rnacentral:rRNA from 1 species
UAGGGAAUAUUGCACAAUGGGCGAAAGCCUGAUGCAGCAACGCCGCGUGCGCGAAGAAGGCCUUCGGGUCGUAAAGCGCUUUUCUGAGAGAUGAGAAAGGACAGUAUCUCAGGAAUAAGUCUCGGCUAACUACGUGCCAGCAGCCGCGGUAAAACGUAGGAGGCGAGCGUUAUCCGGAUUCACUGGGCGUAAAGCGCGUGCAGGCGGUUCGGUAAGUUGGGCGUGAAAUCUCUCGGCUUAACUGGGAGAGGUCGUCCAAUACUACCGGGCUAGAGAGCGGUAGAGGAAGAUGGAAUUCCAGGUGUAGUGGUGAAAUGCGUAGAUAUCUGGAGGAACACCAGUGGCGAAAGCGAUCUUCUGGACCGUUUCUGACGCUCAGACGCGAAAGCCAGGGUAGUAAACGGGAUUAGAGACCCCGGUAAUCCUGGCCAUAAACGAUGUAAACUUGGCGUUGGUGGCUUAAACUCCAUCAGUGCCGCAGCNAACGCAAUAAGUUUACCGCCUGGGGACUACGAUCGCUAUGAUUA